UACGAAGGUCCCAAGCGUUAUCCGGAUUUAUUGGGCUUAAAGGGUGCGUAGGCGGGUUAUUAAGUCAGUGGUGAAAGCCUGCAGCUUAACUGCAGAAUUGCCAUUGAUACUGAUGAUCUUGAGUAUGAUUGAGGUGGGCGGAAUGUGUCAUGUAGCGGUGAAAUGCUUAGAUAUGACACAGAACACCGAUGGCGAAGGCAGCUCACUAAGUCAUAACUGACGCUGAUGCACGAAAGCGUGGGGAGCAAACAGG
rnacentral:rRNA from 1 species